rnacentral:tRNA from 1 species
UUCUAAAAUGGCAGAAUAGUGCAAUAGAUUUAAGAUCUAUACAUAAAGAUAUUUUUCUUUUUUUAGAAA